rnacentral:rRNA from 3 species
CUUUGGGGUGUGACUGCGUACCUUUUGUAUAAUGGGUCAGCGACUUAUAUUCUGUAGCAAGGUUAACCGUAUAGGGGAGCCGGAGGGAAACCGAGUCUUAACCGGGCGUUAAGUUGCAGGGUAUAGACCCGAAACCCGGUGAUCUAGCCAUGGGCAGGUUGAAGGUUGGGUAACACUAACUGGAGGACCGAACCGACUAAUGUUGAAAAAUUAGCGGAUGACCUGUGGCUGGGGGUGAAAGGCCAAUCAAACCGGGAGAUAGCUGGUUCUCCCCGAAAGCUAUUUAGGUAGCGCCUCGUGAAUUCAUCUCCGGGGGUAGAGCACUGUUUCGGCUAGGGGGCCAUCCCGGCUUACCAACCCGAUGCAAACUGCGAAUACCGGAGAAUGUUAUCACGGGAGACACACGGCGGGUGCUAACGUCCGUCGUGAAGAGGGAAACAACCCAGACCGCCAGCUAAGGUCCCAAAGUCAUGGUUAAGUGGGAAACGAUGUGGGAAGGCCCAGACAGCCAGGAUGUUGGCUUAGAAGCAGCCAUCAUUUAAAGAAAGCGUAAUAGCUCACUGGUCGAGUCGGCCUGCGCGGAAGAUGUAACGGGGCUAAACCAUGCACCGAAGCUGCGGCAGCGACGCUGAUGCGUUGUUGGGUAGGGGAGCGUUCUGUAAGCCUGCGAAGGUGGCCUGUGAGGGUUGCUGGAGGUAUCAGAAGUGCGAAUGCUGACAUAAGUAACGAUAAAGCGGGUGAAAAGCCCGCUCGCCGGAAGACCAAGGGUUCCUGUCCAACGUUAAUCGGGGCAGGGUGAGUCGACCCCUAAGGCGAGGCCGAAAGGCGUAGUCGAUGGGAAACGGGUUAAUAUUCCCGUACUUGGUGUUACUGCGAAGGGGGGACGGAGAAGGCUAUGUUGGCCGGGCGACGGUUGUCCCGGUUUAAGCGUGUAGGUGUGUGUUCCAGGUAAAUCCGGUUCACUUUAACACUGAGGCGUGAUGACGAGGCACUACGGUGCUGAAGCAACAAAUGCCCUGCUUCCAGGAAAAGCCUCUAAGCAUCAGGUAACAUCAAAUCGUACCCCAAACCGACACAGGUGGUCAGGUAGAGAAUACCAAGGCGCUUGAGAGAACUCGGGUGAAGGAACUAGGCAAAAUGGUGCCGUAACUUCGGGAGAAGGCACGCUGACACGUAGGUGAAGUGAUUUACUCAUGGAGCUGAAGUCAGUCGAAGAUACCAGCUGGCUGCAACUGUUUAUUAAAAACACAGCACUGUGCAAACACGAAAGUGGACGUAUACGGUGUGACGCCUGCCCGGUGCCGGAAGGUUAAUUGAUGGGGUCAGCGCAAGCGAAGCUCCUGAUCGAAGCCCCGGUAAACGGCGGCCGUAACUAUAACGGUCCUAAGGUAGCGAAAUUCCUUGUCGGGUAAGUUCCGACCUGCACGAAUGGCGUAAUGAUGGCCAGGCUGUCUCCACCCGAGACUCAGUGAAAUUGAACUCGCUGUGAAGAUGCAGUGUACCCGCGGCAAGACGGAAAGACCCCGUGAACCUUUACUAUAGCUUGACACUGAACAUUGAGCCUUGAUGUGUAGGAUAGGUGGGAGGCUUUGAAGUGUGGACGCCAGUCUGCAUGGAGCCGACCUUGAAAUACCACCCUUUAAUGUUUGAUGUUCUAACGUGGACCCGUGAUCCGGGUUGCGGACAGUGUCUGGUGGGUAGUUUGACUGGGGCGGUCUCCUCCUAAAGAGUAACGGAGGAGCACGAAGGUUGGCUAAUCCUGGUCGGACAUCAGGAGGUUAGUGCAAUGGCAUAAGCCAGCUUGACUGCGAGCGUGACGGCGCGAGCAGGUGCGAAAGCAGGUCAUAGUGAUCCGGUGGUUCUGAAUGGAAGGGCCAUCGCUCAACGGAUAAAAGGUACUCCGGGGAUAACAGGCUGAUACCGCCCAAGAGUUCAUAUCGACGGCGGUGUUUGGCACCUCGAUGUCGGCUCAUCACAUCCUGGGGCUGAAGUAGGUCCCAAGGGUAUGGCUGUUCGCCAUUUAAAGUGGUACGCGAGCUGGGUUUAGAACGUCGUGAGACAGUUCGGUCCCUAUCUGCCGUGGGCGCUGGAGAACUGAGGGGGGCUGCUCCUAGUACGAGAGGACCGGAGUGGACGCAUCACUGGUGUUCGGGUUGUCAUGCCAAUGGCACUGCCCGGUAGCUAAAUGCGGAAGAGAUAAGUGCUGAAAGCAUCUAAGCACGAAACUUGCCCCGAGAUGAGUUCUCCCUGAGACUUUAGGUCUCCUGAAGGAACGUUGAAGACGACGACGUUGAUAGGCCGGGUGUGUAAGCGCAGCGAUGCGUUGAGCUAACCGGUACUAAUGAACCGUGAGGCUUAACCUUACA